GUCGUCUUAGCUCAAUUGGGAGAGCGCCAGACUGAAGUCAACUUCUGUCUUAAUGCAACGCGUUAUCUGGAGGUACUGUGUUCGAUCCACAGAGACGACA